rnacentral:lncRNA from 1 species
CAAAAAUUAAAUCCCCAACAGAUUCCAAGUUCAUGUGCAGCAAUAGCAUUAACCAAUAAUACCAAGCAAAUAAUUAAUAUCGAUAAAAAAUAAUACAAGCAAUAGCAUCAACCAAUAAUACCAAACAAAAAUACCGAUAAAAAAAAAUAAUAAUACCAAAUGUUAUGCCCCUAUCUGAACCACUUCGGAAAGUCUGCCACUGCAUCAUACGAGGUGUCCAACACACAUCCAAAGUGGUUCCAAAAUGACUCCACCACUAAUGUUGGCGAGCUGCUAACGUGCUACGAGGCACAAACAAUUCUACCGAACCAACCGAAGAGUUCUUGCCUCUGACGUCGAAGCGCAAUGCACUCCGAGGAUCUCUGUCAGAGGAUCCGUCAUCAAUUUCAGAAAGAGAUCUGUGUCAAGAUCCUUUCUGCCCCCAAAGUUUAAUUGAUUUGACAUCUCCAUGGGCCUAGUUGAUGUGAUGUAUCAACUUUAUGUCAACUCAACUCGGAAGAAGUUAUUACCCGCCCACUCUAUAGACG